AAGUCGUAACAAGGUUUCCGUAGGUGAACCUGCGGAAGGAUCAUUAUCACAUGAUUCCAUGUAUAAACCAUUGUGCACUGUUCAACCCUCACGGAGUUACUGAAGUCGGAAAGGGAAGUCAGCGUUUUAACGGUCAAUUAUUGUAAUUUGAAUGACCCAGCUUUCUUUCGACAGCUUCAUUGCUGCAGACUUUGUUCCUCCACCGAGUGUAAUUCAAAUUACAUUGUUUAUUAUUAACAACUGAAACCCCUUUUAAACUUUUGAACUAACGUUUUCAUACUCCAAUAAAACGGAGAUGAAAUUCUUACGAAACAAAGAACAACUCUUAGCAACGGAUAUCUUGGUUCUC
rnacentral:misc_RNA from 1 species